CCAUUCCGAGUCCGGCGGACGAACUUCGCCCACGCCCCCCACCAAGGCUAUAGCCCACCCGUUUUUUGGCCAUUUUUCCGCUGGGGGGUCUUGGCUCCCCGACCUUCGGGGGCUGAUUUUUGGGCGCGGGUGUGCCCGUGGCCUAUUUUUGGCACACGGAGGCCGCCCGCAAAGUCUGGGGCCAUUCCGAGUCCGGCGGACGAACUUCGCCCACGCCCCCCACCAAGGCUAUAGCCCACCCGUUUUUUGGCCAUUUUUCCGCUGGGGGGUCUUGGCGCCCCGACCUUCGGGGGCUGAUUUUUGGGCGCGGGUGUGCCCGUGGCCUAUUUUUGGCACACGGAGGCCGCCCGCAAAGUCUGGGGCCAUUCCGAGUCCGGCGGACGAACUUCGCCCACGCCCCGCACCAAGGCUAUAGCCCACCCGUUUUUUGGCCAUUUUUCCGCUGGGGGGUCUUGGCGCCCCGACCUUCGGGGGCUGAAUUUUGGGCGCGGGUGUGCCCGUGGCCUAUUUUUGGCACACGGAGGCCGCCCGCAAAGUCUGGGGCCAUUCCGAGUCCGGCGGACGAACUUCGCCCACGCCCCCCACCAAGGCUAUAGCCCACCCGUUUUUUGGCCAUUUUUCCGCUGGGGGGUCUUGGCGCCCCGACCUUCGGGGGCUGAUUUUUGGGCGCGGCUGUGCCCGUGGCCUAUUUUUGGCACACGGAGGCCGCCCGCAAAGUCUGGGGCCAUUCCGAGUCCGGCGGACGAACUUCGCCCACCACCCCCACCAAGGCUAUAGCCCACCCGUUUUUUGGCCAUUUAUCCGCUGGGGGGUCUUGGCGCCCCGACCUUCGGGGGCUGAAUUUUGGGCGCGGGUGUGCCCGUGGCCUAUUUUUGGCACACGGAGGCCGCCCGCAAAGUCUGGGGCCAUUCCGAGUCCGGCGGACGAACUUCGCCCACGCCCCCCACCAAGGCUAUAGCCCACCCGUUUUUUGGCCAUUUUUCCGCUGGGGGGUCUUGGCGCCCCGACCUUCGGGGGCUGAUUUUUGGGCGCGGGUGUGCCCGUGGCCUAUUUUUGGCACACGGAGGCCGCCCGCAAAGUCUGGGGCCAUUCCGAGUCCGGCGGACGAACUUCGCCCACGCCCCCCACCAAGGCUAUAGCCCACCCGUUUUUUGGCCAUUUUUCCGCUGGGGGGUCUUGGCUCCCCGACCUUCGGGGGCUGAUUUUUGGGCGCGGGUGUGCCCGUGGCCUAUUUUUGGCACACGGAGGCCGCCCGCAAAGUCUGGGGCCAUUCCGAGUCCGGCGGACGAACUUCGCCCACGCCCCCCACCAAGGCUAUAGCCCACCCGUUUUUUGGCCAUUUUUCCGCUGGGGGGUCUUGGCGCCCCGACCUUCGGGGGCUGAAUUUUGGGCGCGGGUGUGCCCGUGGCCUAUUUUUUGCACACGGAGGCCGCCCGCAAAGUCUGGGGCCAUUCCGAGUCCGGCGGACGAACUUCGCCCACGCCCCCCACCAAGGCUAUAGCCCACCCGUUUUUUGGCCAUUUUUCCGCUGGGGGGUCUUGGCGCCCCGACCUUCGGGGGCUGAAUUUUGGGCGCGGGUGUGCCCGUGGCCUAUUUUUGGCACACGGAGGCCGCCCGCAAAGUCUGGGGCCAUUCCGAGUCCGGCGGACGAACUUCGCCCACGCCCCCCACCAAGGCUAUAGCCCACCCGUUUUUUGGCCAUUUUUCCGCUGGGGGGUCUUGGCGCCCCGACCUUCAGGGGCUGAUUUUUGGGCGCGGGUGUGCCCGUGGCCUAUUUUUGGCAAACGGAGGCCGCCCGCAGAGUCUGGGGCCAUUCCGAGUCCGGCGGACGAGCUUCGCCCACGCCCCCCACCAAGGCUAUAGCCCACCCGUUUUUUGGCCAUUUUUCCGCUGGGGGGUCUUGGCGCCCCGACCUUCGGGGGCUGAUUUUUGGGCGCGGGUGUGCCCGUGGCCUAUUUUUGGCACACGGAGGCCGCCCGCAAAGUCUGGGGCCAUUCCGAGUCCGGCGGACGAACUUCGCCCACGCCCCCCACCAAGGCUAUAGCCCACCCGUUUUUUGGCCAUUUUUCCGCUGGGGGGUCUUGGCGCCCCGACCUUCGGGGGCUGAUUUUUGGGCGCGGGUGUGCCCGUGGCCUAUUUUUGGCAUACGGAGGCCGCCCGCAAAGUCUGGGGCCAUUCCGAGUCCGGCGGACGAACUUCGCCCACGCCCCCCACCAAGGCUAUAGCCCACCCGUUUUUUGGCCAUUUUUCCGCUGGGGGGUCUUGGCUCCCCGACCUUCGGGGGCUGAUUUUUGGGCGCGGGUGUGCCCGUGGCCUAUUUUUGGCACACGGAGGCCGCCCGCAAAGUCUGGGGCCAUUCCGAGUCCGGCGGACGAACUUCGCCCACGCCCCCCACCAAGGCUAUAGCCCACCCGUUUUUUGGCCAUUUUUCCGCUGGGGGGUCUUGGCGCCCCGACCUUCGGGGGCUGAAUUUUGGGCGCGGGUGUGCCCGUGGCCUAUUUUUGGCACACGGAGGCCGCCCGCAAAGUCUGGGGCCAUUCCGAGUCCGGCGGACGAACUUCGCCCACGCCCCCCACCAAGGCUAUAGCCCACCCGUUUUUUGGCCAUUUUUCCGCUGGGGGGACUUGGCUCCCCGACCUUCGGGGGCUGAUUUUUGGGCGCGGGUGUGCCCGUGGCCUAUUUUUGGCACACGGAGGCCGCCCGCAAAGUCUGGGGCCAUUCCGAGUCCGGCGGACGAACUUCGCCCACGCCCCCCACCAAGGCUAUAGCCCACCCGUUUUUUGGCCAUUUUUCCGCUGGGGGGUCUUGGCGCCCCGACCUUCGGGGGCUGAAUUUUGGGCGCGGGUGUGCCCGUGGCCUAUUUUUGGCACACGGAGGCCGCCCGCAAAGUCUGGGGCCAUUCCGAGUCCGGCGGACGAACUUCGCCCACGCCCCCCACCAAGGCUAUAGCCCACCCGUUUUUUGGCCAUUUUUCCGCUGGGGGGUCUUGGCGCCCCGACCUUCGGGGGCUGAAUUUUGGGCGCGGGUGUGCCCGUGGCCUAUUUUUGGCACACGGAGGCCGCCCGCAAAGUCUGGGGCCAUUCCGAGUCCGGCGGACGAACUUCGCCCACGCCCCCCACCAAGGCUAUAGCCCACCCGUUUUUUGGCCAUUUUUCCGCUGGGGGGUCUUGGCGCCCCGACCUUCGGGGGCUGAAUUUUGGGCGCGGGUGUGUCCGUGGCCUAUUUUUGGCACACGGAGGCCGCCCGCAAAGUCUGGGGCCAUUCCGAGUCCGGCGGACGAACUUCGCCCACGCCCCCCACCAAGGCUAUAGC
rnacentral:lncRNA from 1 species